CCCACAUUUGUUAUCCAAGUCCCAGAUGGCAUCUGUACAAGCAAAAUAACCAGAAGGAAAAAUCCAGACCCUGUGUUCAUUUCGACAUGCUUGCAUUUUGCUCAAAUGGAAACUGCACCAAAGCACAGAGUCACCAGGGUCUCAGCUAAACAUUAUUCAUUCCUGGAGCUGUAAUUAGGAGGAAAUGACUGCCUGACCUCACUAAAUUUCAUCAGCAGUGCCUGUACGCUUGCGCGUUGGUGGGAAAUGACACUUCCUGCAGCGCUGGAUUGAUCAAGAUGUGACUCAACAGAAGAAGAGGGACCAGCCUGGCCAGUGGCUGCUGCACUUAGCAGGGCUCUUGCCAACAGCCCCAGCAGAAACGCUGCAGAAUGGAUUUCCUCCAGCCCUUCCCUAGAGCAAGAUCUGGCACAGAACAAGGAGUCUUCUCUGGAUAGCAGCAAACCCCCUGGGAUCCCUGCUAUGCUCUUGCUGUGUUCCAGAAAAAAAGAGGAAGAGAUGAAAAAAAAUGGAAAAAAAAAUUCCCUGCCAGGCUGCUCCCGUGCAGCUGGAGGCCGGGAGUGCUGAGCUGGCAGGGGAAGACACCGGCACUCAGCACUGGCUGCAUCCUGAGGCUGUGAGCUCCAAAGUGGUGACACCAUCCCUGCCCAGGCACUGCCAAACCCUCCAGAGCAAGGCCUGGCCUGGCAGCAGGUUUUGGGUUUUUACAGGGCUCCACUGCAGGAAGUCUCCCCGCUCAGAAACUGUCUGCUCGCACUACACACGGCAUCCCGAGGAGAAAAGCAGCUGGGAUCCUGGCUGGGCCAUGAUGGUGGCUCUGGAGCCAGGGUUAAGCCCUGGGGCAGAUGCAGCUGUGGCCCUGCACGGAUCCAUGAGGCACCAUGAAGAGGGCAGCAUCUGCUGUGUCCCAUGGGGUGGAGUGUUCUUUCUCCAUAAGGCUGGGUCAGAGCAGAUGCAGGUGUGUGAACAGAGACAAGCCCAGGCUGUCUGUGCCCAAAGCAACGCCAAAACAUCUGGGAUCACAGUGGUAGGCAGGCCAGGGCUGCUGCAAACCACUUGAGCCAGCAGCAGGCUAGAGACAGUGACUUAAUGGAGUUCACCCCAAUAAGAUCAGCCUUUGACACCCAACACAGCCCUGCCCCAUGACCCCAAGCUGUGGCCACCCCCUGCUUACCAGCCCCAGCACCUGCAGCAUCACUGCUCACACACUCCUGUCCCAGCCCUCCCUGUUCCCAGAUGCUGGCUGGAAUUUACACAUCCCUCCUAUUCCACUCAUUCAUGCUGAGAGCGAGUCAGGCAUCCCAUUCCCUGUACCAAUGGUUUACCAAUCUCUGGAAUGCCCCUGAGACUCCCAAAAAGUUUGGGAAGGCCAAGGAAUCCUGAAAUAAAUGAGACUGUUGAGAA